rnacentral:rRNA from 1 species
ACGAACGCUGGCGGCGUGCUUCACACAUGCAAGUCGAACGGAAAGGCCCUGCUUUUGUGGGGUGCUCGAGUGGCGAACGGGUGAGUAACACGUGAGUAACCUGCCCUUUACUUUGGGGUAACUUCAGGAAACUGGGGCUAAUACCGGAUAGGAGCUCCUGCUGCAGGGUGGGGGUUGGAAAGUUUCGGCGGUUGGGGAUGGACUCGCGGCUUAUCAGCUUGUUGGUGGGGUAGUGGCUUACCAAGGCUUUGACGGGUAGCCGGCCUGAGAGGGUGACCGGCCACAUUGGGACUGAGAUACGGCCCAGACUCCUACGGGAGGCAGCAGUGGGGAAUAUUGCACAAUGGGCGGAAGCCUGAUGCAGCAACGCCGCGUGCGGGAUGACGGCCUUCGGGUUGUAAACCGCUUUCGCCUGUGACGAAGCGUGAGUGACGGUAAUGGGUAAAGAAGCACCGGCUAACUACGUG